AGCGAACGCUGACGGCAGGCCUAACACAUGCAAGUCGAACGAAGUCUUCGGACUUAGUGGCGGACGGGUGAGUAACACGUGGGAACGUGCCUUUAGGUUCGGAAUAACACAGGGAAACUUGUGCUAAUACCGAAUGUGCCCUUCGGGGGAAAGAUUUAUCGCCUUUAGAGCGGCCCGCGUCUGAUUAGCUAGUUGGUGAGGUAAAGGCUCACCAAGGCUACGAUCAGUAGCUGGUCUGAGAGGAUGACCAGCCACAUUGGGACUGAGACACGGCCCAAACUCCUACGGGAGGCAGCAGUGGGGAAUCUUGCGCAAUGGGCGAAAGCCUGACGCAGCCAUGCCGCGUGGAUGAUGAAGGUCUUAGGAUUGUAAAAUCCUUUCACCGGUGAAGAUAAUGACUGUAGCCGGAGAAGAAGCCCCGGCUAACUUCGUGCCAGCCGCCGCCGUAAGAC
rnacentral:rRNA from 1 species